GGCCCACAGAGGACUGUGUCCAUACUCAGCAGACGUGGAAUGACAUAUACUGUGAUGCCACCUACCAGUGGUGACCAGAGGCCGAUCCCCAGCGGUCAGCACAGCCUGCAGAGCUCAUGGACAGCAGCCAGAAGCCAAUCACCCCCCACCAGCAUCCCCUAACCCAGCCCCUAACCCAUUAAGGGAAUCGGAUCACCUAGUAGAGUUCCCCUGCUGUGUCUCAAGCAUGCCAAUCAGGGCAUACCUGGAGUCCUGUACCCCCAUAAAUCACGGACCCCAUGGUAGAACUUUGCAUUUCCCCCCCUUGCCUGCAUCCCUGCAGUAUACUUUCCUUCUCUUUCCUC
rnacentral:lncRNA from 1 species